UAGACCAGAGCUCCGGCUCCUGCCCAGCGCCGGCCCCAGCCAGGCUAGCUGCAGCUUCCAGAUCCCAGACCUACAGAUCCCCCCUACAGAGGGUAACUGCAUCUGCCCAGGGCUCCUGCUGCCCUCUGUGCCUGGGGGGCUGGGCCAGCCACAUGGAUGAUUUCCAGGGUGAUAUUAAAAAUAUUGAACGAUGGCAAUAUGCAACAACAGGGUCCCAGAGGCCUCCUGCUCUACGAGGAGUUACCCUUUAACGUCUGGAUCGCGAGAAGGCAUUAGUUCCUGGGGCCGCUGUACCAAAGGGCAGCAAAGUGACAUGGAACUCACAGGCCAGCAGGUCCUGGUGAGGCUCUGGAUGGCACAGAAGGGACCUAGACCCAGGAGUCCUCAGUUGAGCCAGCAUUCAAGCAAUUGACAAAUACAGGAAUAAAGUCACAGUGACACCCUUUCUGAUGGGCAGCCCAAAUAUGUCCUAAGGGCAGCCUUUGAAACGCCUCUGACGGCACCUGCGCCUCCACGCACCACCCCACUCUUCUGCUUCCUUCCCAGCACCACAAAGGCUUCCUCAGUUCCUGACAUCAUCUCGCUUACGUGUCCGCUUACAUGUUACCACGUGGCCCCACAAGAACGUGAGCUCCUUGAGGGCCGGGUUCCACUUGAAUCGCCCAUGGCCUAUGGCCUUGUGUGUAGGAAGAUGUCUGCUCAUCCUAGCUGCUCAAGAUUCAGACCUGCAGGUGCCCAGAGCAAUGACCAGCCCUGUGGAACUAGAGGAAUAAGCCACGUUCAAGGGUUGGUGGCAGGCGUGCCACAGGUGUUCCUGCGGGGGUGGGCAGGCAUGCUGGGGCAGGCCACACCUUGCUUGUGGUGGGGCUGGCCCAGGACACCGAAGGACGGGGACACAGAGGCUGACAAAGCAUGGCGUGGGGCGGGGGCGGUUGCCAGAGGUCUCUCAGCUCUGCCAAGGUGAUUUCCUUCAGGGCCACAGAAGAGGAGGGGGCCACGCAGAGCAGGAGGAAACGCACCCUGUAAAACCCAGGCUCCUGCACCCAUCCGAGGCUAAAAACACCCACUCAGCUGCACACUCAGGACCCCACCCAACGACGUUUCAGAAGAGGGACAUUAGCACCUGGGAGACACUGGCCAGCUAGUCCGUGGCUGUCCAUCAGAUACAGCCACUGGGUUCAACAAACUGAACACUUUGGGACCUUAUGGACCUCCACCUAUAGUGUGUCUGCAGCUCAGCAGGGAGCAAAAUGGGGCUGGUUGGUUGAAGACCUGGGCAGGAACCAAGCAGACCUGCCUCACAGUCGUGGCCCAUCUGUACCUGGGGUUGGAUCUCAGGCUCCCCGGGCUAGGCCCUCUGCCCUGGAUAGGGCUCUCUGAGGGGCAGGAGCAGAAGUGAGAUGGGGACAGGCAUGUAGGAAGGCACGGGAGACACUUCAUCUGGGGUUGGAUGGAGAUUGGACCUUAGCUGAAUCACCGAGCAAGAUUUUGAACUUCUUUGAGCCUCAGUUUUAUCAUCUGUAGGAUGGGCUCAGUCACUCCAGGAUUGGCCAAAGGACAGAUGAAGCUUGGGCUUAAGACACCCAUAGAGCUGGGCAUCCUAUCAAAGGGGAUGGAUGGUUUGAUAUUUCAAAUAUUGAUGCACAGUGGUCAGCUCAGGCAGCUAAGACUUUCUGAUAUUUUAAAAUAAAAUAAAAGUUAACCUUCCGGUUAAAUCAUAGCAUUUCACUUGACACAUAAUAGGUGCCCAAUACACGUUGUUGCUUCCCUCUGUCCUGGCUUCUCAGAGGUGAAGUGGGAAGAGGCUACAGAAAGCUUUCACCAAAUGGACCUUUGGUGAGGGGUCCUCUGACGCUUUUCUGGAGGACAAAAGCCACAUCCUCUGCGUCCUGCAUCCCUGUAAAGCCCAUGUAUGGUUGUCGGUGUGGAGUUCCAGCUCUGAAGAAAGUGCUUGCUCUGGGGAUAGGGCCACCUUUCCAUUGUGAACUGGGCACUGAGUCAGUGAGCAGAUGACCGGGCACCCUGCCAGUUAUCAGCAUCGAGGGCGGGACAUAUGACGGGGCGAUGCGGAGUCCUGGUGGGAUGGGGCAAGUGCCGCUUUAGAUGAGGUGACAUUUGAGGAGGUCCCCGAAGGACGGGAGGGAGCAAGACGUCCAGGUCCCUGGGGGAGCAGCUUCGCAGAAGGAAGGGCAGUGUGAGGCCUCAGCAUGGGCAGGGCCUAGGAUGCCCAGAGCACACAGGGAGGGACUGAGCAGAUCAAAGUGAGCCGGGACAGCCAAGGGCGAGGAGAUGGAGGGUCUUGGAGGGCAGUGAGGCCAGGGAAGCUACUCGCUUUGUCUUUUAUUCUAGGUGGGAUGGGAGGGGACCCCUGGAGCGUUCUGAGCUGAGGAGAGACAGCUCUAACUUAACCUCUCAACAGAUGGCUCUGGCUGCAGUGUUAAUCAUAGAUGAGGGGGCAAGGGUGAAUGACCAAGAACAGUCAUGAGUGUUUUGCAACGAUGCAGGGCAGAGAUGGUGGUGGCUUGGGUUGGAGGCUCACCAGAUCUACGCGGAUUGCCCGCCGUAAUCAAAGGUAAAGUUGGCCAAUAUUCCCUGCUGACACCGUAGUGGAGCUAACAUAGCAGAUAUCCUCCGGGCACUGAUGGGGCAGGUGCUUUUCGUGCCAGCUUUCCCAAUAAAACAGCUAACAUUUAUUAAAUGUCUGCUAUGUACCUGCCAGGCACUGCUAGCCUGAAUAGAGCAGGGCUCAGAACCAGAGAUGCUGGCAGGAGACUUCAUUUCACACGUUAUUGAGUGUCCCUUACUAAGGAGGUUCCAAGCGUCAGGGAGAAGCUAAAGACACGUGUGGCUAGUGCAGUUCAGCAGAAUUGAGGUGACAUGAAGCAGGGUGACCUGAGGCUCCAGGAUGAAGCAGCGUGGGCCGCCCCUAUGUCAGCAGCAUCUUAGUUCCCUCCCUUCCCCUCCCUGCGGGAUGGAGCUCUGUGCCAGGCCAGGGGAACAAAGUGGAACAAACUAUAGACCUUGCCUGUCAAAGGAUUCCAACCAGCCAGGGAGAGACACACACUUCCUGGAAAGUCUCUUUCGAGCAUAGGUAACAGAAAAGCCAACAGAAACAGACUCAAUUGAGAAGGAAUUUCAGAGUCUGACAUAGCUGAAGAAUCCAGGAGUAUGUCUAGCUUCAGGAGAUGCUUAACCAAGGCCCAUAGGAUAUCACCAGAAUGCCAGGACCCUGUGAAACAGGAUGGGGAAGAAUGGAUCCCCAAGAGGUUAUUACUGGAAGUAGAGAGAUGGGCGCUGGGCAGCCACAAGCCACCCAAGAGACUCUGCAACAGCCAGAUGGACGCCAAGCCAAACUAUGAAAAGUUAUCUGAGAGGAACAUUGAGGAUGGAGAGGUUGCUUCCAACUGGGGUGAUCAGCAAGUGGUCACAGGAAAGGUGGUGAGCUGAGAGUUAAAGGAGCAUUUCCAUAACGCCAUUCGCAGCAACAUGGAUGGGCCUAGAGAUGAUCAUACUAAAUGAAGUAAGUCAGAGAGAGAAAGACAAAUACCAUAUGAUAUUGCUUACACGUGGAAUGGAAAAUAUGACACAAAUGAACUCUAUCUAGGAAACAGAAAUAGACUCACAGACAUAGAGAACAGACUUGUGGUCGCCAAGGGGGAGGGGGAAUGGAAGAGGGAUGGAUUGGGAGAUGCAAACCAUUAUAUACAGAAUGGAUAAACAAGGUCCUAGUGUAUAACACAGGGAACUAUGUUCAAUAUCCUGUGAUCAACCAUAAUGGAAAAAGUAUGAAAAAGAAUGUAUACAUGUGUAUAACUGAAUCACCUUGCUGUACAGCAGAAAUUAACACAAUAUUGUAAAUCAACCAUACUUCAAUAAA